UACGGAGGGUGCAAGCGUUAUCCGGAUUCACUGGGUUUAAAGGGUGCGUAGGUGGAUAAGUAAGUCAGUGGUGAAAUCUCCGGGCUUAACCCGGAAACUGCCAUUGAUACUAUUUAUCUUGAAUACUUUGGAGGUAAGCGGAAUAUGUCAUGUAGCGGUGAAAUGCUUAGAUAUGACAUAGAACACCAAUUGCGAAGGCAGCUUACUACACAGUAAUUGACACUGAGGCACGAAAGCGUGGGGAUCAAACAGG
rnacentral:rRNA from 1 species